UUCCAUUGUCCAUGUCCGUGUUCACCUGGACCAUAUCCUCUCCCUCCCUUCUCUCCCUCCAAGCUCCAGCCUUAACCGUAAUAUCCACUGCCAAUGUCACCACCCACAACCCCCUUCAAAUCUCCACUGCCCAAAUGCUCACUUUCUCCAACUUUUUCCCCAAAAUUGUCCUCAAACUACGCCCAACUACCUUUCCCUCCAAACCCCAACGACCCGCCCUUUCCUUCAAAACUCUCUGUUCUCACU
rnacentral:misc_RNA from 1 species